AGAGUAACCGUGUAUUGACUUCCAACAUUCCACAUUUCCAAAGGUGUUUCCUGUGAUCUCUGGGAUCCUGAUCCGCACCACUCAACUUUGGCCUCCUAAACUUCAUCCUUGACCCCACCCCAGGUAGGAAGGAUGUGUGGAUAUUUCUUUUAUCUUUCUGCAACGAUGACCUUUUGGAGAAAAAGAAAGGAAGCAGGUAAGAUAAACAUUGCUUUAUCCAUUAUGUAUCAAGCACUGUGCUUGAUGAUUUACAUUAUCUUCAUCCUUUCAACCAAUACUGGAGGAAGAUGAUAUUCAUCUUUAAAAUAUAUCAAACAUGCUCAGCUUUAUUUCCCAAUAAAUGUGAAAUGAUUAAGGUCCUAUAAUCUGAUUAAGAUAUCAAGAUUAAUCAAAUUUUUUAAACAAAAUUCGCAUUUUAUUUAGAUUGAUAUAAAUUAUAGUUUAUUUUCUUCACCAAAAAAUAACUGCAAUAUUUUCCGUAUUUUUCUAGAUAAGCCAAUACACUUAUAUUUGUAGGUUUUCCGGGUUUUUCUUAUAAAUCAAGAUGAGGCAAUAGGUAAGAGUCAUGAAAA
ensembl:lncRNA novel transcript, antisense to RGS7